rnacentral:rRNA from 1 species
GUGGGGAAUAUUGGACAAUGGGCGAAAGCCUGAUCCAGCCAUGCCGCGUGUGUGAAGAAGGUCUUCGGAUUGUAAAGCACUUUAAGUUGGGAGGAAGGGCAGUAAGUUAAUACCUUGCUGUUUUGACGUUACCGACAGAAUAAGCACCGGCUAACUACGUGCCAGCAGCCGCGGUAAUACGUAGGGGGCAAGCGUUGUCCGGAAUGAUUGGGCGUAAAGGGCGCGUAGGCGGCCUGGUAAGUCUGGAGUGAAAGUCCUGCUUUUAAGGUGGGAAUUGCUGUGGAUACUGUCGGGCUUGAGUGCAGGAGAGGUAAGUGGAAUUCCCGGUGUAGCGGUGAAAUGCGUAGAGAUCGGGAGGAACACCAGUGGCGAAGGCGACUUACUGGACUGUAACUGACGCUGAGGCGCGAAAGUGUGGGGAGCAAACAGGAUUAGAAACCCCAGUAGUCC